GCCUCUGGCAACCACCAUCCCACUUUCUGUUUCUAUGAAUUGGACUCCUCCAGGUGCGUCGUGUAAGCGGAAUCGUACAGUAUCUGUCUUUUCGUGCCUGGCUCUUUUCACUUAGUAUGAGGCCCUAAUUAUACUUAUUUCGUAGCAUGUGUCAGAAGUUCACGCGAGUGCCUUCACCCGAGCUGCUCUCCAGGCUUCCUGGGGGUUUCCGUCAACCCUUAUGAUGAGUCCCUGUCAUGGCAUCUUGGAACCUAAAGGUUGGACAUCCUGGUAACUCCACUGGCCCUGCCGGUUACCACGAGGGUGCUCACUUUCCCCUGGAGAUUCAGCGCCGCUACUUGCUUUCCACAGCCCAGGGUCUGCACAUCCCAUGAGAACCUGGUACAGAGCAGGGGCUCGAGAAUGACUUGUUGGGUGGACGGACGCAUGGACAGACGCAUGGACGGAUAUGAGAAUACUGCGGCAGGCGGAAGAGGAGGAGCUCGUGGGCCAUGAAGCUCACUUUCCCAGCCCGUAACUCCUGGAUGUCCCCGGUUUAGUCCCCACAACGCCUCUCUGUUCACCCUCCCUCCCUGCGUGAGCUCACCCAGUGUUAUCAAUUUAACUUUCUGUCUCCGGGCACCAUCUCUCCCUUGAGCACCUGACUCACACCCAACUACUACCCAACAUUUCCACUCAAAAGUUAGUUGGCACCUCAAAUGCCACGUAUCCAAACUCUUGAUUUCUCCUCUAAAUCUUCUCCCACAGACCUUCCUAGCUCAGUAGACGGCAACCCCAUUCUUCCCCUUGCUUGGGCCCAAACCUGGGAGUCCUCCCUGAUGCCUUUUUCUCGCACAUUCCUCAUCCAGUACUUCAAAUCCUCUGGGCUCUACAUGAUGUACGGAAACCCACCAUUUCUCCCCACCUCCACCUCCCUGAUUUAAGAUACCAUCGACCUUCAAUUAGAUUAUUGCAAUAGCCUCCUGUACAGCAGAUGUUUCUCGUAACCCAUGCCACGCGUCUCUUGGCCACCUCUGGCUUCAGCCCCAGCUGCAGCAGCUAUGGGUGGGCUCAGCUGCUCUUGUGCCAACAGUGUCUGGCCUCAAGUGUGCCCCCCAUGUCCGUUUGCCUUCUGCCCUGGACGUCAACGCUGCCGGGGGCCCUCUUGGCUCCAGCACAAAGUUCACCUGUGCUGACAGCCUCGCGCCUCAAGCGUGAGCUGCACCUCUCUCUGCUUUCGGCCCCAUUGAAUCUUGAUGCUAUUGGAGCCCGCUCUACCCAGGCACCCAGAUGUGCAGCGUUAACAUCCCAGGGGCAACCUUCAACCAGCGGGGGAAGGGGCAGCUGGGGAAAUGUUCCUGCCUCCUAUCCUUCAGGUGGGUGAUUCUGGGGACCAGCCUGAGCAUUGCUCAAGGACCUUGGUAAACUCGAGCUCCUGAUGCCCACAGCAGCAACGCUGAUGAUGCAUCUUACGUUGACUUUUCUCCUUUCCUGUCUCACUGUCCCCGCCCCCUCAUGCCUGCUCUUUGGGUCAUCUCUCAGAAAAGCCAUGUGGACACAAGUCCUUGUCUCAGCCUCUGCUUUCAAGGAAACCCAAGCUAAAAUGUGUUUUCAGUUUGUUUCCCCUGCUACCCAGAAGCAGACUGAUCUUUCUAAAACAUGUGUGAUCAUAUCCCUCCUCAGCUGAAAACCCUCCAGUGGCUCCCAUUUCCCCUAAAGGAAAAGCUGAAGUCCUUACAGAGGCUGACAGGGCCUGACAGAACCCGCCCUCCCAAUAUUUCCCCCCUGAUUUGUUGUUCUCCUGCUCAUCUGUCCCUUGUCCUCCUAUAGCCACAGUGAUUGAUCUUCAUGGACACCCAGUGCACUCUUGCCUCAGGGCCUUUGCACUGGCUAUUUCUACUGCCUAGAACAUUCUUCCUCUAGAUAUUUCCAAACGUGGUCUUCACUUCCUUCAGGAUUCUUCUUGAAACACUUCUCAGAGAGGCCGUCCUGUGUAAAACAGUAACCUCCACCUCCCUGCUGUUCCCUGGGCCCCUCGCCCUGCUUGAAGUUUUUCACAGCACUGAUCACCAAUACCAUAACUCGUCUUUUUCAUUUUUUGGUAUAUUUUCCGUCUCCUCCCCAAUUUGAAUGAAAUCUCCAUGAGGACAGAGGCUCUGGGA